ensembl:lncRNA
GUAAAUCUGCACUGCCAGGCUCGUGCUACCCAUGUUCCAGGAAUAGGAGGUGGCUACCAAGCACAGGGCUUUUGUGCAGCACAUGCGAAAUAAAAGGAGAGCUCUGCAAACAUGCAACGAGCCAACAUUAGUUUCAGUCACAGAGGAUAAGGAGCACUCACCAAUCUGUGAGCAGGCUGGGCGGCACAGGUUGCCCAGAAGCUGUGGAGUCUCCUUCUUGGGGACCUUCAGCAGCCACCUGGACAUGGGCCUGGGCCCCUGCUGGAACAGGGGUUGUGCCUGAUGGACCCAGAGGACACUGCCAGCCUCAGCCACUCUGAGAUUCUGUGGGUGACAUGCACCACUUGAAGAACAGAAGGAAAACAACCUUCAAGCAUCUUCAUUUCAUCUUGGGAACCAAGCCCCCUAAGCUGAACUCCUGUAAAGAGACCUUCUGACAUCACUGCAACUCUUUCUGAGAGGAGGAAUCAGCCACAAGGAAGCUAGAACUGAACAUACUUUCUGGUAGCACUGGGUUUGCAUUUAUACAUUUGGGAAAAAAAUAGCUGCUUUGGAAGACUUAUGCCUGAAAAUGAUCCUGACUCAAAUUUACUGGACAUUUGGAAAAAAAUCAUAUUAGACUCUGUUCCUUUGUCCUUCUUUGUGCUGUUCAUUUUCAGCUAGUUUAUAUUUCCAGAAAAAGAGAUUAUCAGAUUUCAGCUCUAUCUCUUCCUUCCAUCAAUCACACUCUCAAUUUCUACCUCGCACAUUCACUGCUUGGACCGUUGUUUAUACAUCUUGCUCCUUAUGUCUGAAUUACUUUCAACAUUACUUUUUGUUUGACAACGACAGGUAGGAUUCAUCCUAUCCUAUAGAAACAACUUUGAGCUCAAAAUAGUGGUAUUUUCAUACCUCAGAUAAUGUUUACACAAAAUAGAUUAAAAAAUAAGAAAAAAAUACUUGUGUUUUAAUGUGCACACAUGUAUAAAAACCUAUCAUAAUAAUAGAGGUGGAAGAAAGAAGAAAAAGAGGCUUUGUUGAAACCUUGGUUCCUCCCUUAAUAUUCACACAGUCUUCAGUGUUAUAGACUCUGCUUCAAUAACUGAAAAUAAAAACAAUAAGAACAAGCAGAAAAAUUUCCUCUUGGAAUAAUGAAGGCAUAAAGCAAAUAAGUGUCUGAAAAAAAAACAUUUUUCAGGAUAACGAUUACUUCAGCAUGGACAUAUAAAUAAUUGCCUUUGAAUCAAAGGUAUAAGAGGUUUCUUAAUGGUCACCUGCAAAAUCUGAUAAAAAUCAUUUGCUGUCUGACUGUCAAAUCUUUUAAUAUUGGACAAUAUAAUUAUAUCUGAAUUGCUACUGCAAACUUUUUUUUUUUUAUAAAAAACAAACACUUGUCUUUUUUUAUGUCAGUUGUUUGAAAUCUGAGGGGCGACGAUUUUGACAGCUCACUAGAAUUAAAUUUUCUUUGAGGUGUCCACUUCACAAUUUUGUCAUUCUUUUCUUGAUCAGGCAAACUGAUAAGCUAAUACACCAUUAAAAUAAGUUUACACACUACUUGGGCCUGUUUUUAAAAAUGAAGUAGAAGGACUGUAGAGCAAAAUAAACAUGUUUUAAUAAUGAGAAUAACUGCUCAAAAAUAAUGAUAUCAAUGCAUGUUUUGUACUGGAAACUUUCUGGAGGUGGUAAUGUUGUGAACUCAGAUGAAAGGAAAUAAAAAGAAAACUUAAAAACUUGCUUUUUCCUAUAAAAUUCUUAUUCCUACCCAACAGUUGAAAGCUUGCUGUGGUGUUCCUGAUAUGCUCUAACAAGUACCAGGUUCACAAUGAAGACUGGAAAGUACACAUGGUUACACAAAAACAGAAUAAAGGUGUGAUGAGGACAAGUUGAAAGCAGCAGAAGAGACUACAGGUGAAUAAGCAAAGGAAGGACUAAAUGAUAACGGAUAUGACUUUCUGUCCAGGAGAUGGGACUCCUAAAUGUAGGAGAUCAUCAGGUCUCUAUCCCUGGGGCUCAUCUGCUUUGGAACUUACAACAGGAAGAGAGCCAAGUAUUUGGUCAUUAUCAGUGAUUUAUGAAACCCACAUUUUUUUUCCAGUUCAUCUCUGUUUGAUUUCUCUUCUUGCAAUGAAAUCACAGUCUUUUACCACUAACCUGCCUGUGUAAUUAUCAGGUUAUGAAAACAGACUAUAGAUGAAAGUGAAAUGGAAAAAGAGAAAUAAAUGUGCUGGUUGCAUAAGUGCUGUCAACAAAUAACUGAUAGUUUUCAUUUUUACCAGAAAAAAAAAAUAAUGCAAAAGGCUCCCCCACUGUGUGAAGAGUGUUCUUUAAAAAAGUUUGCUAAUUUUAGCAUCGCCUAUAUCAGGAAUUCUAUUAUGUUUCUAUUUACUACUUGUCAAGAAAUAUAAUACAAAGAUGAAUUUUCAUUCCAUUACUUUUUUUUGUCUCAUUACAUAUUGUUUACAAACAAAUUAUACAGUACAACCUUUUUAUAAGAAGACUUAAUCCCAAAGAAGAUAUAAAGCAUGCAUAGACUAAAUAUACAGCAGUUUUGUAUGAAGUUGCAAAUACUGACAAGUAUACUUGAAUAUCUUGAAAACAGAAGGCAAACAUAAAUAAUCUUGGUCAUGUUAUUAGUGUUUGUAGCAAUUGGACAGAUCAAAAUGAUGGGAAAAGGUGUUUCACCAGAGGUGUAAUGACAGAAGGAUCAGCACAAUAUAAAGGUGCUCUAAAGGAACAGAAGAAGAUUGCUUAUCCAUAUCAGAUUUCAGGUUUACAGGGAAAAAGCUCCAACAAGGAGGGAUUUCCAGAAAGAGAUCACUCCCCAGUGCCAGUCAGCCCUUAAAUGGGAUCUAGGAGAGUUGGAGCCAGGCUCCACCCCUUCUGGUCACACAGAUUAAUUGCCUUCACCUGUGCUCUCAGGGCUGACCUGGUCCUUUCCCCAGGUGAUCAAUCAGUGGUUCAGGCUGUGACUCAACAGUUACCAUGCAGUGUCAUUUUGCAGAGCAGAACUGUAUUUCAGAAGAAGCCUUCUCGAUACCUGGUGGACAAUUUGGAGGAAAAGAAAAAAAGGAAUAUUUAUUGUUACAAAAGAAGUUUCACUUAUUGCAAAUAUUCUCCAAGUAACAUACACUUUCUUCCGUCUAUUUUUCCAUUAAAUUAAGCAUAUUAUUCUUUCAGUUGCACCUCUACCUACCUAAACACUGUUUCAGUGAUUCAGCACCAAGAGUAGAUAAAGUGAUAUGGACUUAAACACUAAUUUGCUGCCAUCUCAGUUCAUACUGCAUUACUAGGCAUUAGAUACACAGCCAUGAGGAAGUAGGAACCUUUAGGUGGAAUUCAGCAUGACAUGAGGUUGAAAAGACUGGGAUAGAAAUGGAAGAGCCAACAAAAACUCUUAUUUUUCUGCAUUUUUCAGCUAAACUAAUAUCUUGGGACCACUAGAAAAUCAAAGGUAAUCAUUAGAUAUGAAAGCAAAACAUGAACAUCUGGAUUAAAUAUUGAUACACACAGACGACCAGGAUAAAAUUUUCAUUACUUGUAAAGGAGCCGAUAUAUUACCUUGGUGUUCAUGCUUUGUGGAGAAGAAUUGUUGUGGCAAUGUGUUCUGUAUUAUAUGGAUAACUAAUGUGAUAUGGGUCAAGGAAUUGCUCUAUGUUGUACUUAGACAAUAACAGAAGUUUUUGGACUGAAAAUCGAUGUAAGAAGGACCAGACUUUACAAUUGCAUAAAGACAGAAAUGAUUUGAGAUCUGUGCCCAUUUCUGAAUCUGUUUUCAGCCUUGAGCUGCUCUACUUCUUUCUCUUGUUUUGACAUUUUCUCUUGGGGAUUGCCAUAAAUUAGAUAUCCUGGUGUUAAUUUUAGCCAAAGGACAUGAGAAAAGAUGUAAAUUGUCAUAAAGUAGGUAAUUAUGCCUCAUGUAUUCCCUGAUUAUUCCUUUUUAAUUGAAUGGUCUAGCUGAAGGAAAGACUGUAGUAAAUGGAAUAAAAAACCAUAAUACUCUGCACAUGUAUUUACACUUUGCAUCUUUGAAGUGUUACAGAAAUUAGCUAAUCAAUAUAACAAAGUUUCAAAUGCCUUUUUUUGUUGUUGUUGUUAUGGGACAUAUUAAUGAAAGAGAGUGUCAGCACAGAAAUAUUGGAAAUAAUAGAAAAUGAUGUGAAGAUCUCAUGUAAAGUCAGCGUGGAAUAAACAUUCUCUGGGUUAUUUUUGGUUUUGUUUCAAUUUAGCUAACAAAAAUUCCCAAGCAAACAAAUACGAAUCCAGAGCACUCAUGUAUUAUAUGGAAAGGAACAUGCAGGUUUGAUGUCAGUAUUAAGAACACAGAUCAUUCACUGUUAAUUAUGUUGUUUGUUGCUGUUGUUGUUGUAUUUUUUUGUUAGUUUUGCCUUUAUUAUUUGUUAACUCUUUGUCUAUGUAUCUUUUCUACAAAUUGUCAUUUCUUACUAGGGCCUCAAACCUGGUAUGGGUCAGGAUGUUUUCUUUUCAUUUGGGACCACGAAGGUACCUUAUGUGUACCUUUACACUGCAUCCUGAUAAUUAUUGAAGGGGAAAAUUCUCUGUAGAGAAUUUGUACAGAACUAUUGUGUCAUCAAUAACAUGGGCAACAUACUGUUGCUCUCAUAUAAAAUUCCUGCUUAUGUCAAUGAGAGAUUUGGGCUUAACUGAAUUAGCAUUCAGUCGGAAACUCUUGCUUUAACUGUUUUCCUGUUCACUAAAUUCCAUACAAGUUUUGUGAUUGUUCAAUAGGCUUCACUGUAGUUUCUGUUCUUUGUCCUGCAUUUAUAUUUUGGACUUUCAAAUUUACCAUAGAAAGCUUCUAUAAAUAUGUAACAACUAUUUCGAUUUUGUCACAUUUAAACCACUUUGUGGUCACUUUGGUAUGCAGAAAGCAGAGUGGAGCAAUGACUCUAGGCUUGCUUGCAGAAUAAGAAAGUGUAUAUGAGUAAGAAAUUUAGGCUUACGUCCUUAUGUCAGUUGUACAGGCGCAUAUUUAAAUAAAGUCUAUAGUAUCAUUUGCAUUUCUGUGAUUUACCCACUUGAUCCUACACUGUUUGUGUCUUUUAAAAUUGGCCAUCAUUGAAACACAUAUCUGAUAAUGAGUUACACUG